GCCAAUUGUGGCGGUUUACGGAAGGCGUGUGCGACUCAAAAUCGUGUUCCCAAAAGGAGUGUGGGUUCGACUCCCACCAUCGGCA
rnacentral:tRNA from 1 species